UAAUACGUAGGGUGCAAGCGUUAAUCGGAAUUACUGGGCGUAAAGCGUGCGCAGGCGGUGCUGUAAGACAGGCGUGAAAUCCCCGGGCUUAACCUGGGAAUGGCGCUUGUGACUGCAGCGCUGGAGUGCGGCAGAGGGGGAUGGAAUUCCGCGUGUAGCAGUGAAAUGCGUAGAUAUGCGGAGGAACACCGAUGGCGAAGGCAAUCCCCUGGGCCUGCACUGACGCUCAUGCACGAAAGCGUGGGGAGCAAACAGGA
rnacentral:rRNA from 1 species